CGCGUAGGUGGUAGUGCAAGUCUGAGGUGGAAUCCCAGGGCUUAACCCUGGAACUGCCUUGGAAACUGCAUUACUUGAGUCAGUGAGGGGAGGGUAGAAUUCCUGGUGUAGCGGUGAAAUGCGUAGAUAUCAGGAGGAAGGCCGGUGGCGAAGGCGGCCCUCUGGCGCUGAACUGACACUGAGGCGCGAAAGCGUGGGGAGCAAACAGGAUUAGAUACCCUGGUAGUCCACGCCCUAAACGGUGGGUACUAGGUGUAGGGCUCGUAAGGGUUCUGUGCCGAAGCGAAAGCAUUAAGUACCCCGCCUGGGGAGUACGGCCGCAAGGUUGAA
rnacentral:rRNA from 1 species